ensembl:lncRNA
CUUUUUUCUUAUUUAUUGCUGUUUCUCUUAACAAAUUAUUCACUCCCUUGUCACUAGACAUCCCGGGAGGUCCUUUUUUCUUAUAUUUUAUUGUUAGGCGCGCCCCAUCUCUCACCACAUUCGGUUUCUGAUAUGUAAUUCUGGACUUCUUUAAGAUUGCUACAAUGGUGAGAAAAGUCAAAAUAGCUCCUAGUAAAAGCAUAGAAGCCUCUAUAUUAACCUCCCACAAUAGCAACAUUCCCAAGCCAAAGUCCAGAAAAAACAUACCUCUCCGAAUUUACCACCCUGCAGUUCUGAAUCCGCCUCGUUAGAGGGGUCUCCGCGGUGCUGGAGAUGUUCACAUGUUCCCGGGUUUCGGCACCAUAUGUCCCGCGCGCUCUGUAUUUCUCGCCAGCAAGAAAUCAUACACGGGACACUCGGAUCCUUCUGCAGACAAGCUUUAAUGCAUCUUGAGAGUUAGAGAGCAUAAGCUUUCCAGAGCGGAGACGCCGAGCCAAGAAUCCCGUCCCCUAAUAAAGGCUGGCAGCCGCCGCCUCGGACGUGUCACCCCAUGAUUGGCUGCAGCUCAUCCGGCCAUAUGACGCCACGGAAUAGGCAGAGAUCAAGGAAUGGAAAAUUACCCAGCGCCUGCGCAAUAAUCUUGUUUACAUUCGGUGCCUGCCGGAUGCAGGCGCCAUCUUGUAAUGGAGAAUGCAGGGACGGCUCCCUACAGCAUGGUACUCUCACAAGCCAGAAGAUGGCAUCAGAACCCUUAGAAGAGGACUUACAGAUAGUUGUGAGCCAUCACGUGGGUGCUGGGAACAGAACCCCGGUUCUCUGCAAGAAUGGUGUUCUUAACCGAUGAGCCAUUUCUCCAGGCCCUCCAAUCCUAUAUUCUUUCCUGCAUUUAAAUAUCACAGCAGAGUGAGAUUUGAAAACAGUAGUCUUGGAUCUAUGGGAUUUUUUUUUCCUUUUUGAAAUGACACACAAAUCACAUUUAUGUGUGGUUUGUUUCCCGAGGGGACAUCUAAAGAGUGGGGCACCACUGAGGUAUUUAGAAACCAGAUUGCCCCUGAAGCGUUUGGAUAUUCUGUGCUAUUUAUUUAUUUAUCAAGAGGAAUUUUGGCCCACGCACACCUUUAAUCCCAGCACUCGGGAGGCAGAGGCAGGUGGAUCUCUGUGAGUUCGAGACCAGCCUGGUCUACAAGAGCUAGUUCUGGGACAGCCUCCAAAGCCACAGAGAAGCCCUGUCUUGGAAACUGCCCCCCCCCCAAAAAAAAAGAGGAAUCUUAUGUUCUCAGAAAAUUUGUAGGUUGAAUGUCACUGCUUUCAUUUUAUUUAUUUAUUUAUUUUUAUUUUUUAAAGAAACAGCAUGAAAGAAAGGGAAGAAGGAAAUUGGGUCUUGUUGUAUUCCAGACUAGGCCAUUGUUCAUUGGCAGAGUUGUCCCAUCUCACCCAAUUCUCUUGGCAGCCAGGCCAAUUCUGGUGUUCUACUUUGUCAUAUAAAUCCCACUGAAGUUUAUUUGUAUUUACCUGGGCUGCUCACUUUGUUUGGUUGUUUAACUUCGUGCCUCUUUGUAAUACCUCCUUUCUGGGAUAUUUGGGCUCAGUUGUCACACACAGUCACAAUACUGGCCCUCCUUUAAAGAACCACACAGUCACUCCUGAAACUACAACGGAGUUGUCAGAUAAAAUGCAGGUGGCACACAGUAACUAGGACAUACUUAUCCUAAAAACAGUUUGUUCCUUAUCGGGCAUUCGUAACUGCUUUGAAUCAAACUCCAAUAUCUGCACUUUUAUUUGCUAAACUAGUUUAUGCCCUCCCCAUAUAAAACUGUGCAACGCAAAAUCCCAGUUUCAUUUCUAUUGUUGAGAAUACUGGAGAAUCCAUACUUUAUGCCACAAGUCUAUAGUCUCGGUUCUUUAGAGACUGAGGCACGGGGAUAACAAGUAGAGGUCUGCCUGAGAAACGUAGUGAGCAUCUGUGUGAAGCAAAAUGAAAGGCGACAGGCUGGAGCCUGUUUUCAAUGGGAGUUCAUUGCAGAGCUGUGAAGGUAAGGCUCCUUAUGCCACAUUAUGGCGACUUUGAAGAGCCAUCUGUGAUGGCUAGUUUUUAAACUGUCAGCUUGCCACACUUGUCAGGUCAGUGUCUUAAUGAGGAAUUGUCUACAUCAGAAUUGCCUGUGGACCUGUCUGGGGGUGGGGGUGGGGUACUUGACUAUUAAUUGAUGUAGGAUGACCCAGCUUAUCAUGGGUGACAGCAGUCCAGGCAGAGCAUCCUGGACUAUAUAAGUCAAGAGAAAGCUAGCUGAGUAUGAAGAGAACAAAGCAGGAGAUGUGGAGGUAUUUAUUUCUUUACUCUCAACUGUGGAUACCAUGUAACUACCUUGAAUUCUUGUCUUGACUUCUCCCUUGUGAUAGACUGUAACAUGGAAUUGUGUGCUGAAACAACCCUUUCCUCCCCUAAGCUGCUUUUAGUCAGAGUUUUAUCACAGAAAAAGAAAUGAAACUAGAACACCAUCCCAGGAUCAGGGACGGUGAGUCAUUCCCAGAGGGAAUGAAGUUUUUGGUGGCACCACACCAUCCAACCAUCCUCAUGACCACUCCUGCUCUUUCUCCAAGGGUGUUAACCCCAAGAGCUCAGUAACAGGGAACCCAUCUGUAACUGUUGACACCAGAGGUAGCCCAAGAAUUCAAGAUGCUGAGAUGCAGUUCUGCCGUGAGCCACCUGCUCCCGGACUGAUAAUGAGGACCUCAUGCCUGCUUCUAGAUGGAUACAGCUUAGGCCUGGAUAAAAAGCAGCAGUGCAGUUGUCAAAUCUUUGCCACAGUGAAUGCAGCUUGUGCUUUAGUGGAGGGAAAUACAGUAGCAGGUAGAGUGCAUUAGGCACUAGGGAAGCAUGGGGUGGGUGGAGAGGGAACUAGGAAUUAGGACAAUGGGACUGGGUGACUGCUGCACGAGACAGCUGAUGCCUUGAGAAAUGCAACACUGAGUCAUUGCACGACUGCACUGAGCAUUUAAUUGGCUCUUUACUUAGAUGCUGGGCAUCUGAACUCGGGUCCUUAGGCUUGGGUUGCAAGCACUCUAUGGAUGGAACCAUCUCAGCCUGUUUUCGUCCUCUGACUUCAUGAUCUGUUCUUUGAGACUUUAACCUGGAGAGACUACAGCAGAAGCUCAUUUUUAGAGAUGGCAAAGUUCCCUGGUAGCACAGCUUCCAUACUGAAACCAAUCAAUCCAGAGCUUGUUCCCUGAACCGUCUCCUUAUCACACCCUAACACAUCAGUUCAGUUUGUCCUAAACCAGCCCAGGGCCAGGAACUGGACAGCUAGGAGUCAUCCUUAAGCCCAGGGCCUGCUGAUGCCAUUGUUUAAUCCUAAGCUGUAUCUGCUCUCUCCUUCCCUGCUCCUUCCAGAGAAUGACCCAGUCAAACGCUCUAGAGAGUCCUCCCCUUAUCCUGCAUAUGUCCUGUUUCUUGAAUCUUUUGACAAGAAAUUUUUUAAAUUUCUUAAUGACAAUUGUUCACAAGCCUGCUUGUCACCCUACCUGACUAAAAUGAAUCCCGGGUACAUUUUAAACACUGAGGUGGACUGUAAAUUUGGCCAGAAAUAACUUUCUUUCUUUCUUUUUUUUUAAAAAAAAGCAACCUGAGCACUCUCCUGGGAUAUGAUUGGAAGCUUGGGUAAGGGCCUGGGAGAAAGAGGGGUGCAUUGCUGCUGCAGCUCUGAGAAGCAGAGAAAGCAGCGGCCUGGGGUCAAUGAGUUAGAAGCCGGCACUAUUGUGACAGAAAGUUGAAGAAAAGAUCAGAAAUGCAGGAAAAUGUGCAGCUACUCUGCAAGAGUCUGCAAGACACUGCCUUCGCGGAAGCGAUGGGAACGGAGCCAGGGCAGAGAAUACCAGUGUUACUGGAAGUCUAGGGGUGUGCUCACUCAACGCACCCGCGAUGACUAGGCUGGAACUGAGUACAUGAUAAGGAGCGACUUGAGGGAAGGAGCGUUCAUUUAGCUCACAGUUUAAGGCAACAGUCCUUCCUAGCAGAGAGGCACGGUGGCAGGAACCACUCUUAGCCGCGGCUGCAGGAAGGUGAGGCUGCUUGCUCACAUCUUAGAGAAUCGGGAAGCAUACUGAUACUCAGCUGGCGUUUCUGCUUUUAGACAGUCAGGAUCCCCCUUGUAGAGCAGUGCUGGGCACACCCGGAGUGGAUCUUUCUCCCUCUCUUCACAGACACACCCAAAGGUGUGUCUCCUAAAUGUCCCAGGUACUUUUUCGUGAAGCUGACAAUGACAACAAUUACGGGAAGCAAUGUACCCAGAUGCAGAGUCACCAGGAAACUGGCAAACGUCUGGUUUUAUUUGUGGGGAUGUUUUGGAAGAAGAUUGGUGUGCAGGUAGGAGAGCCGUGCUUGGGGUGGCAGAGACCCGCCCUGCAGAUGGACAGCACCAUCCAGUAGGCUGGGAGCCCGAUGGAACAAAAAGCGGAGGAAACGGGGACGCCCUCUGGUGCACUAGUUACCGUUCUUUUUUUUAAAAAUAUUUUAUGGAUAUGGGUGUUUUGUCUACAUGAACGUUUGUGCAUAUUGUUCAUUCAUACCCUGGGAGACCAGAAGAGGUCGCUGGAUCUCCUGGGACAGAAGGUGGUGCGCCACCAUGUGCCGGGGAUCAAGCUCAGGACCUUUCAACUGCUCAGCCAUCUCUUCAGCCCCAGUAGUUUAUUUUUAAAAGGCUCACCUAUUUGUCAAAAUAAGGUUUCACACCCUUCUCUUGGAAAUCUUCAAUUUGAAUGUUGUUGUUGUAGUACUUUUUUUGUUGAAAAUCUGUAGCAGGAAUAAUGUGUGCUUUCCACCUGGAAUCUUAUAAAUGUAUAUUGCUCCCCACCCCUGUAGAAUGCGUCAGAGGUCAUACUCUUCCACUUUUAAGGGGGCUCUGGGGGUCAAACUCAGGCUUGUGGAACAAGCACCCCUGACUGCUGAGUCAUCUAUCCAGCUGUGAAAAACUUUCUUAAGAAAACAUUAGUCAUGAGGAAGGAAGUCGAGCUAGCGGUAAACUUUCCCUGACUCAAUGACUCAGGGAAAAUGGCCCAGUAUAUUCCAUUUUUGGAAGGAGAGAGAGAAGCAAAUUAUGUAAUAUUACAACAAUGAAGUAUUUAAAUCCGGUCUGUAGCGCUGUUGGCCGAAGUAGCGGGAUUCAGACCCAGGUCUAAUCCACACCUUUAUGGCGGUUUCUGUCCCCCCAGUUCGUUUGCUUCUUGGUGUAUUGUGAACCCCAGGACCAUUAGGGGGAAACUGCGCAGGCCAGCAGGCUGGGCUCUUAGCGCAGCCUCAAUCAGAAACAAGCUGGUUCUCUGGUUCCUGCGUCAGGUGCUUCCCCUUCCAAAUUGUCCAAGAGUCCAAGAGUCAUCUUUCCUCACAGAGCUACUGGUUCGCAAGUCUGUUGUAGGAUAGAUUUCAGUGACUUGACGGGAAAUAGGGCUGCAUCCCAAGCACCCUGGGAGAUUUCAUUACUGAAUGCCGGUCUCCCAAGAGACUGCUGGGAAGCUUAGUCCGGUCCAGGGUCUUAAUUAGCAUAGCCACCUCCCUGAAAGCUCUUUCCAGGCCUUUGCUAACAGCAAGCUACUUUCCCAGCACCACUAAGCGGUUACCGCUCGCCUUUCUGUUGGGUCCCCUCCUGUUUGGGGGCCACGGCUUCUGAAUUUGAGGCUGGCUGCCUCUAGGUGGCAGCAACGUACCACUUUCCGCCGCUGAAUGUGCUCGGCUAGAAUCCGCUUCUCUUCCAUCCAGCUAAUUCGAGAAAGCAGGACUCAGCUGAACUUCCCCCAGCGAUGUUUCUUUCCUGCUCAGGCUCCUUCGAGGCGUCUUGUGGUUUUACUGCCCGAGCCGAGACCCACUGUUAUCUGAGUCAGCAGAAGGAUCGCACAAGGAUCCGAUCCUCCAUGAAAGGCGUCAGACGAAUAAGGGAACAAAAGAGGGUUGGGAGGGCAGUGGGGCUGCCAAUCUGCCCCUGCCUGCUGAAGAUGUGGUGGCCGUCUAUGUUACUCUCCUAGUUUCUACCGCCUGUGUUAGGUGACUCAUAACUGCCUGGAACUCCAGUUCCAGGGGACUUGAUGCCCUCUUCUGGCUUCUAUAGGCACCUGCAUGCAACAAAUGGACAUACCCACACACAGACCAUACACAAU